GUCUACGGCCAUGCUACCCUGAACAAGCCCAAUCCUGUCUGAUCUCUUUAUGGAAGCUAAGCAGGGUUAGGCCUGGUUAGUACUUGGAUGGGAGACCACCUAGGACGACCAGGUGCUGUAGGUG
ensembl:rRNA 5S_rRNA 5S ribosomal RNA